rnacentral:rRNA from 1 species
GAUGAACGCUGGCGGCGUGCCUAAUACAUGCAAGUCGAGCGAACAGACGAGGAGCUUGCUCCUCUGACGGUAGCGGCGGACGGGUGAGUAACACGUGGAUAACCUACCUAUAAGACUGGGAUAACUUCGGGAAACCGGAGCUAAUACCGGAUAAUAUAUUGAACCGCAUGGUUCAAUAGUGAAAGACGGUUUUGCUGUCACUUAUAGAUGGAUCCGCGCCGCAUUAGCUAGUUGGUAAGGUAACGGCUUACCAAGGCGACGAUGCGUAGCCGACCUGAGAGGGUGAUCGGCCACACUGGAACUGAGACACGGUCCAGACUCCUACGGGAGGCAGCAGUAGGGAAUCUUCCGCAAUGGGCGAAAGCCUGACGGAGCAACGCCGCGUGAGUGAUGAAGGUCUUUGGAUCGUAAAACUCUGUUAUUAGGGAAGAACAAAUGUGUAAGUAACUAUGCACGUCUUGACGGUACCUAAUCAGAAAGCCACGGCUAACUACGUG